rnacentral:misc_RNA from 1 species
GGAAGGAUCAUUAACACGUUAUACACGUAUACACAUCUCCGCGAACUCAUUUUUAUUCAUAAGUUGGUUGGCCAGCGUAGCAAUGGAGGUAGAUGCUUUACUAUGUCAACUUGGGGACUCCUGGAUACUCCGGAGUGCUUCGUUGUUCUACCUGCCUAUCCGAAAAAAGAAAAAUGGGCUGACAUUGUGCUACCUUCCCCUCGUCGGGGAGGGUCCUUGCCCCUCGUCGGGGCGGGGUUGGCCGGUCGCAUCAUCUAUUUUUGAGGGUAUUCUGGCUCAUAUGACUUGAAUCAUAGUAGUUUUAUAUCUAUUCAACCUUUUUAUUAAUUUGUAAGAAUUUUGUGAUGGUUGUGGCGGGGGAUUAAAACCCCCCCAUCGCAGCUCACGUUAAAAAAACACUAUACAACUCUUAGCAACGGAUAUCUCGGUUCUCCUAUCGAUGAAGAACGCAGCGAAAUGCGAUACGUAAUGCGAAUUGCAGAAUUCAGUGAAUCAUCGAAUCUUUGAACGCAAAUUGCACUCUGGGGUAGCCCCCAGAGUACACUUCUUUCAGUAUCGUUUCAACAAAAAACUCGGCUGCGUGCAGCCGGAGAGUGAGGUUUAAGCGUUUAUGGUUUCUUUCGAGAAACAUGCUUUCCCUUUAAGUUCAGUUCGGCUUGGACAUUCGACCAUAUAAGUAUAAAAACAGUAUGUUUUUUGCCUUCUGCUGUCGAGUAUAACUAGACGCCAUAAAAGCAGUGUGAGUUGAUCGUCAAAUCAUUCUCUGGGUUGAUCGUCAAAUCUUCCUCAAGCUGCCGCUCUAGACAGGCUCGACAAUCCAGAACCAAACAACGAAAGUACGGUCUUCCAUAUCAAACAGUGUCACUGUCUCUUGAUAGAUGUGGGUUUUCUUAUACGUGAAUUUCGUCGAAUCACAUAGAAAUCAAUACAAAAAUCUGAGACUUGGUGAAGGUCACUGGGAAAUGCCAGAAAAAGUAUAUUGGUGCCUGGUUAGUUUUUUGUGCAUACAUUUGUUUUUUGCAGUAUAGUUGUUUGUGAUACCGGGGCUAUCUAUAAGAAACUAUGGACUCACCUCCAUAUGAAUUUGAUCUGAAAUGAAGUGGGACUACCCGCCGAAUUUAAGCAUAUUAUUAAGCGGAGGAAAAGAAACUAACAAGGAUUCCCCUAGUAACGGCGAGUGAAGCGGGAAAAGCUCAAACUUAAAAUCGGUGUACCUAGCGGUGCUCCGAGUUGUAGUCUAGAGACGCAGUGCCAGCGUGUGACCUGGGUAUAAAUCUUUUGAAACAAGGUAUCAGAGAGGGUGAGAAUCCCGUCUUUGACCCGGAGUUUGCCGCGUACGGUCUGUGUUCUAAGAGUCGGAUAGCUUGGGAAUGCUGUCCUAAAUGGGUGGUAAAUUUCAUCUAAAGCUAAAUAUAGAGGAGAGACCGAUAGCGUACAAGUACCGUGAGGGAAAGAUGAAAAGAACUUUGAAAAGAGAGUUAAAAAGAACUUGAAAUUGCUAAGAGGUAAGCACUGGAAACCAGUCAUGCCUGUGGCUAUUUGCCUGAUCGCUGGUGGCUGCCGAGUUCGCCGGGACGUAAAAGCUAAGUGGGCUCGGUUGGUUCGUCAGGGGUUGGGAACUGUAGUCAUGGGCGAGUCAGCAUCAGUUAGAAUCGCAGGAGAAAGUCGUUCGGAAUGUAGUCCUGCUGCAGCGAUGUAGUCGGAAACUUAUAGACGAGCGGCCCUACUGUGGCACUGACUGAGGAAACGAAAACGCGCACCUCUUUACGGGGGUAGCGGUCCUUAGCCUCUAUUGGUCUGGUUGAUGCGGAAAACAACGUUUUGCGUGUUGACUUUAUGGCUGGUACGUAGGUUGGGUCGAUCAGCUGCGUGUUCGCGAUGUUGACGAAAUGGUUUUCAUUGACCCGUCUUGAAACACGGACCAAGGAGUAUAACAUAUAUGCGAGUAUUUGGGUGAGUAAAACCCUGAUGCGAAAUGAAAGUAAAGCGGAUCUUUAUGGUCCGUGAGGUAGGAACCCUGGGCUCGUUCCGGGAGGCACUAUCGACCGAUCGUUCAUUUAUGAAAGAUUUGAGUAAGAGCAUAUCUGUUGUGACCCGAAAGAUGGUGAACUAUGCCUGAUCAGGGCGAAGCCAGGGGAAACUCUGGUGGAGGCUCGUAGCGAUACUGACGUGCAAAUCGUUCGUCUGAAUUGGGUAUAGGGGCGAAAGACUAAUCGAACCAUUUAGUAGCUGGUUCCCUC